AUGGACGUGAAUACUAACCGGAACGCCCCAUCUCCACCAUAAAAUUCUCGUACGCAAUAUUUACCAAGAAAAAACAUAUCUAAGAACAGAAGCUAAUUCUGAGUUUAGAUAUGUUUUUUUGUUUAUUAUCAAUGGUUUCAAGCAUUUUCAUAAAAUAUUUCAUUGAUAUAAGAUCCUACUAUAANCUCACUAUUAGUGGGAUACGCUAGUCUGUGCCGUUUGAAUAGCCUAGAAGAGAUUAUCAAACUCGCGGUCUGACAGGUCUGUCGCCUAACCAGUCACCCGUUAAAUUCAAUAGGAGACUAAGCUUGUAGAAAGUUAAGUGGUCGGUGUUUUCGGACGGGGGUUCGACUCCCCCCAUCUCCACCA
rnacentral:tmRNA from 1 species